UACGUAGGGGGCGAGCGUUGUCCGGAAUCAUUGGGCGUAAAGCGCGUGUAGGCGGCCCGGUAAGUCCGCUGUGAAAGUCCAGGGCUCAACCCUGGGAUGCCGGUGGAUACUGUCGGGCUCGAGUCCGGAAGAGGCGAGUGGAAUUCCUGGUGUAGCGGUGAAAUGCGCAGAUAUCAGGAGGAAUACCGAUGGCGAAGGCAGGUCUCUGGGCUGACACUGACGCUCAUGCACGAAAGCGUGGGGAGCAAACAGG
rnacentral:rRNA from 1 species